rnacentral:rRNA from 1 species
UACGGAGGGUGCAAACGUUGCUCGGAAUCAUUGGGCGUAAAGCGCGUGUAGGCGGCUCGAUAAGUCUGCUGUGAAAGUCCAGGGCUCAACCCUGGAAUGCCGGUGGAAACUGUCGAGCUUGAGUCCGGAAGAGGCGAGUGGAAUUCCUGGUGUAGCGGUGAAAUGCGCAGAUAUCAGGAGGAACACCAAUGGCGAAGGCAGCUCGCUGGGACGGUACUGACGCUGAGACGCGAAAGCGUGGGGAGCAAACAGG